CCCCACUCAAUCUUUUGUUUAUGAACAGGACUGCUAAUCCCUAAGGACCGAUGUCAGCUCCGAAAACGGUCCUGAGAAUGUGGCAAGGGGUCCUAAGAACACAUCAGCGAGCCAGAAGGGUCUCGUCAAGUUAAAAAGCCAACGGCAUUCUUUCCCGGGUCGCAUUUUAUCUCAGGAGGACUCCCAUGUGAGACCAAAGCAGGGAGACUAAGCUCAUCCUUUUCUGGGAGUGAAAAACUGAUCCCCAAGAAAGGACCCAUCAGAUAUAACCCCGGAGCUGGGGCUACUCCACCCUACCAGUAUCUUCUACUCCCCGUUACUGAGGGGGCACGAAGCAGAGCGCCAGAGCAGUUCCGAGCAGAACUGACCACCUGCCUGAAGGCAUGUCAAUCAUCUCGCCACAGGUUCCAUAAGGGAUUCGCAGCAAGGAGGGCGACCCGCCCGCUCGGCGCUCCUUCCAGGGGAAGGAAGUCAAAGAUAACGCAAG